rnacentral:rRNA from 1 species
GGCCAGACUCCUACGGGAGGCAGCAGUGGGGGAUAUUGCACAAUGGGGGGAACCCUGAUGCAGCGACGCCGCGUGGGUGAAGAAGCGCCUCGGCGCGUAAAGCCCUGUCAGCAGGGAAGAAAAUGACAGUACCUGACCAAGAAGCCCCGGCUAACUACGUGCCAGCAGCCGCGGUAAUACGUAGGGGGCGAGCGUUAUCCGGAUUCACUGGGCGUAAAGGGAGCGCAGGCGGCACGGCAAGUCCGGUGUGAAAGCCCGGGGCCCAACCCCGGGACUGCACUGGAAACUGCCGGGCUGGAGUGUCGGAGGGGCAGGCGGAAUUCCUAGUGUAGCGGUGAAAUGCGUAGAUAUUAGGAGGAACACCGGUGGCGAAGGCGGCCUGCUGGACGACGACUGACGCUGAGGCUCGAAAGCGUGGGGAGCAAACAGGAUUAGAUACCCUGGUAU